UUGAGUUUUGACAAAAUUGUAUUAACGUUGAAUAAAAGCAGCGUUAGUACGUAGAAAUUAAUUAUUGCGAAAAGUGGCAAAUUUGAAAAUUAAACUGUCAGAUGUAUCGUUCAAAUACUUUAGGAUCAUAAUAAAAUAGUGUAGCUUUUGACACUUAACAAAAAUGAAAGGUAAUUUUACUCGUUUUGUAAUUUUUAAGCGACUCGUUUUGCUACUUUUAACUUUUAAGGAUUUUUUUUUUUGCAGACUUCCUUACCGCUACUUGAAUUCUCUAGGGCUUGAAGGUGUUCUCAAACCGCAUGUUAGGCCUCUACGGUCACUACAAUUGACCCUAAAUCCUGGGUUGGGAAAGCUCAUGAAUGCUUGAAUCUGAAAGAAAAUGCUCAAAUGCUAUCUACUGUAUUUCUUGUCGUUUUGGUGAAAAUAACAUGCCUUGGAAAUAACUGGAAACAUUAUUAGGCCACUUUUCGAGCUUUUAAGGUGUGAAAGGCAACUUUCAAGUUGCAAUAACUAAGCAUCUGUUCAAUAGAGGUUUAUGAAAUUUUACGUCAAACCAUAACCAAGAGCACAUUUAAUACUGAUUGACUACGUUUUUAUUAUUGAUGCAUUUUAAUGGACUUUAAGUCAUUUACACACUUAUCUGAGCUACUUUUAAGAAUGUUUAUUUCACAAAAGUUGUUCCUUUUGAUUCUUUGAGAAAGAAAAACAUAUCUAAAUAUGUCUCACUUGAUUGUUUAGGUCCAUAAGAAGUCAUGCAAAUGAAAUGGGUGUGGCUCCUUCCACAACCUCAAAGACAGUCCAGAAAAUGAGAGGGAAGUCCUUGGUGAGGAUGGAGAGGCCCAUGAUGACACCAACAAUCAAAGAAGCCUGUCUCCAGCGUUGACUAGGACUUCUGAACAAAAGCUGUACAUCGGAUCAGAUCGGAUUCGGAUCGGAUUGACCAACAGUUAUCGGAUCCUUCUCCACAGGUUAAACCACUUGUGGAGAAGCAUGGUUGUGGGAACAAGAUGGUGCAAGGUGCCACAAUGCAAAUAAGAGCAAAAUGUUCUGACGUUGCAAACCCCAAACUUUUUUGACAAACAUUCUAGGCCAUCUCAAACCCCAGGCUGAUCAGUCUAGACUCGUAAAAAAAGUGUUGUUCGUAUGUCGAGCAGAAAUUCGAGAUGUUUUUUGAAGCGGGUUGCUUCCAAAUCGCUCGCUUCACCUCUGUUGCACAUCCGAACUAUCAAACUUCUGUAAUUUCUACUAGACGUAAAAACUGUGGGCAUGUGAAGGGCAAGGGCAAGUUAUCGGGGUCCGUUUUAAGACAAAUGACCAGCUUAUGACCCCCACUAAGGAUCCCUGAGCCAGCCUCAAGUCGAGCUUCAUCACGAGCAUAUGCUCUACAUAAGUUCCACUCUGGACUGGAUGAUCACUGUUGAUGGGGGCAACAUCGAGUAGCAUGCAUUGCUCUCGGUCCUAGUUAUUAUUGACUGAAUUCAAUUCCAUGCCCUUGUAAAACCACACUUUUCGCAUUAUACACAUUCAAAUCAAAAUCAACAAGUGUUGCGUUUUUAAGCGCACAGGCCUACAUGUAGUUUCUGAUAAACGCGGAUUCAGUGGCUUCGUCUUUCAGGUCAUUCCAAUUGGGCUCACAUUUUGAUAAUCUUAAACGAGAUAUGUGUUCUUCUAUCUACUUGAAAUUCUGACCGAUGUUAUCUAGUCAAUUAUUUGAUAUCUUGAAGUUGUUAUCCAAGUGCACUUCACUAUAAAUCCUGCAUAACUGACGACUGAACGGAAUGUGUCAUAUAAAAGAAGACAGUCAAUCAGUCUAUUUUGUCCUUCUGGAAAUAUCAAUCAAUCUUCGAGUUUUGGUGGACAAAACAAAAAGAUAAAGGAGCAAGACACCAAAGCGGAUGAAAUGGGAAAACCCUCAAAAUGUGGAAUCGAAAAUAUCAUCUACCCGAAAUUUUCACAACAAUUACAAUUUUUUCCAAUGAGAGAUCCUCAUAGAAAGCGUUCUGAUAAGUAUUUAGAAUGGGAGGUGGUACUGUCGUAUCUAGAUGCCUAACAUUUCCUGGAUAUCUUUUUAGCAAUGAAAUUGAUGAUACAACUGUGGAUGACCAAAAACAUCCCGUCGACACCGUGUACUACUCGGCAGAAGAUUCUUCCUUCAAGAUGACGAUGGAUAUGUUCUUAGAAUAUUUCGAAGUAUUUGAAUUUGAAGAUUGUUUCCCCAACUACAUGAAUGAUGAAGAUAGAGAUCGUCAGUUUGACGUUUUCCAUUAUUCAGGAGACUGGCAAGAAAAAUGUGACCAAAUUUGCCGAGAACAAAGAAUGAGUAAGACCCUUUUCGGUAAAAAAAAUGUAAUAUUUUAACUAAUAUUCAUUAGUCAUUUGAGAUGGACCAUCAAUUCUACAUCAAUUUGAAAAAACCAGUUUUAGUAGUGGAAAUGAUAACCAAUGCAUCAUGAUUGUCUCCUUACGCCAAACAAAGAAAAACGGUCAAAACAAAGGUGUUUCUUGGGUUCAAGGUGUAUCAGUGUAAAGAGGACGUCAAAUCUCUAGGCACUCGAUACCUGAGAAAACACAAGCCUAGCGGAAUGAGCGAUUGAGAUUACCUCCAGGGCGAUAUUGCAUUAUUCCACGUACAAAGAAAAGAGAUGAGAAAGGAGAAUAUUUUCUGCGUGUUUUCGUCGAAUUUGGUUGGGGGACCUGUGAGCUUUGAAACAAUGAAAUUAGUCCAGGUUUGAAGAGAUUAAUAGAAAUAUCCUCCGUGUGAUACUACAUGAUUCUUUAAUUUGGAAGGGAUAACAAAGUGAACAUGAAUGAAGAUAUGAAUAGCAAAAAAACUGAUUGAGAAAGAUUGAAUGAUAGGUAAAUGAGGAGAAGAUGUGUUGUAGUGGUUAGCGCAGUUCCCUAAUACGAGAGAGGUCCCCGGUACGAAUCUCCUCCUCGACCUUUCUCAAGGAAACUUUUAGACGCUAACCCUACUCACAUACGGAGAACCAAACUGAUACGGACACGACACUACCUAUCGGAAAAAUUAUAAGGAGAUGUGAUGGCUGGCUUCGCUGGCCGGGCGAGGCUCACCCCUCCGACCAUAGGACCCAAAUACAAAAAAGAAAAUUCUUUGCCUUUCCUUUACACCUUCCCGCAGAUCACGGCAAUCUGAUCAUGAGGCAGGGACGGGCUUGAUGAAACGACGGUUCCAGAAAAGAUCUUAUCUCUUUGUCUGACGAUCCUUGAUGCGGAUAUGGGUGCCAAUCGGAAGCUUCCUGAGGGAUUGGGCAUGGAAACCAUGGUUCUCUUUUGAGUUGACAACAAUAACAGGCAGAAAAUUUGAUUACAUCCCCUGAGCAUCCCAAGCAUGAUUUUGGGCUCAAAUUUGGCCAAGUUCAUCUAUUCGACAAGAUUGUCGUUUUAAUUUUGAAUAAAGUGAAUGAUUUAGGAGACAUGAAAUUCUCCCUCUCGAUCCCAGUCCAUAUCUUCAGAGGUCCAUGCUUACUGAUACUUACAAUUCUAAUACAAAAUACGACUUGAAACUACCUAAUACAAGACAACAGUUACGAGAAUCUAAAGACCCAAAAUACAGAGACGCAGACGUUUUGCAUUUUGCAUUGAUGAAGUGUAUUAAG